UAUGUUCAUCUCAACAAUUGGCAGAUCUUUUUACUAAAGCUGUUUCAUAUAAUAUUUUUAAGAAUCUGAUGAUACCCCUGGUCCAUCAGACCAGACCCACCCCGAACCAAGACCAGAAAGCCCACUUGGCUUAACAGGCCGUGCAGAAGAGGUCGGAUCAGACUCAGAAGAGAAGGUCCAGCCUUGUCGAAAAGUGCAUAAAUACCCCUAGGGGUUGACCGUAAUAGGGGAGAACAUUGGUAAUAGAGUAGAUGCUAUAAUAGAGAGAGAUUGUCUGAUAUUCGCUUGAUACUAAACGAUCAGAAACUCUAACAUAGCAUUUUUUUAUGGUUUACAGAUUAACUAGAAAGAACAAACCAGAAGGAAGGAAAUAAUAAAGAUUUCUGAAUAAAGCAUAUUCUAGAAUAAUAGACUUCACAUAAAAUUAUUAUAUUAAGAUACAAUUUCAAGUCUUUAAUAUAUACAUUCAAAUUGCAA
rnacentral:lncRNA from 1 species